rnacentral:miRNA from 10 species
UCGUGCGGAAUCCGGAUACUGU